AUGGCCGAUAUCCGCGGGGACUUGAUCUUCGAUGGAUCUGAGCAACAGCCGAGCAUGCCACGCUUACACGAUGGGCACGACCUAACUCUGCCGCCGGACAGCACCUUGGAGGCCGCACACGAAUCCGCUCCGACCCAUAGUCCGGAGCCGACCGCACAGAUCGAGGACGGAUGGCUGGACACCGCCUCGGGAGCUGCAACUUCUACGGCGACGGAGCCGAACACUUACCUUGUCCUGCAUAAAGCUCAUGACUCCGAGGUGCCGGACUCUCUGCCGGACUCCGAACCUCCUGUGCCCCUGCCAGUCGAAUCCGAUUGGGCGCCGAUCAUUUAA
rnacentral:rRNA from 1 species